GGCCAUGCGGAGUAUUG
rnacentral:rRNA from 1 species